rnacentral:rRNA from 2 species
UGCAAGUCGAACGGUGAAGCCCAGCUUGCUGGGUGGAUCAGUGGCGAACGGGUGAGUAACACGUGAGCAACCUGCCCCCUACUUCGGGAUAAGCCUUGGAAACGAGGUCUAAUACCGGAUAUGAACACUUGCCGCAUGGUGGGUGUUGGAAAGUUUUUCGGUGGGGGAUGGGCUCGCGGCCUAUCAGCUUGUUGGUGGGGUAAUGGCCUACCAAGGCGUCGACGGGUAGCCGGCCUGAGAGGGCGACCGGCCACACUGGGACUGAGACACGGCCCAGACUCCUACGGGAGGCAGCAGUGGGGAAUAUUGCACAAUGGGCGAAAGCCUGAUGCAGCGACGCCACGUGAGGGAUGACGGCCUUCGGGUUGUAAACCUCUUUCAGCAGGGAAGAAGCGAAAGUGACGGUACCUGCAGAAGAAGCGCCGGCUAACUACGUGCCAGCAGCCGCGGUAAUACGUAGGGCGCAAGCGUUGUCCGGAAUUAUUGGGCGUAAAGAGCUCGUAGGCGGUCUGUCGCGUCUGGUGUGAAAUCCCAUGGCUCAACUGUGGGCUUGCAUCGGGUACGGGCAGACUAGAGUGCUGUAGGGGAGACUGGAAUUCCUGGUGUAGCGGUGGAAUGCGCAGAUAUCAGGAGGAACACCGAUGGCGAAGGCAGGUCUCUGGGCAGUUACUGACGCUGAGGAGCGAAAGCAUGGGGAGCGAACAGGAUUAGAUACCCUGGUAGUCCAUGCCGUAAACGUUGGGCACUAGGUGUG